CUGUCGUUUAAGCACACGCAGACGCGGGCCGCGCGCGCCGGGCCGGCUCCGCGGCGGACCGGAGCGUGAGGAAUCCCUGGAAUGAGGCGCCGCCCGCCUUCUCCCGAGUUCCGCUGGGCCGCCCAGGCCACGCCCAGGCCACGCCUCCACCACGAGCAGGUGGGGGCCGAGCCCAGCUCUUUCUUUCUGCCAAGGAGAUCCCUGAUGGCUUUGGCUCCCUGAUUGUGGUCCCUACUACUCUUUUUGGUUUCUACCACCGCCUUCCCACAACUACUUCGGUACCUUCAUGGUCUUGUAAAUGACUUUCAGAACUGACUCCUUUUAUACCUACAUGGUUCACACUACUCAGAGGGACAAUCUGUCUCCUCUCUUUCUACUAAUCCAGAAUUGGCUGUCAUCUGAUCUGCCUGGAAGUCAUGCAUCCCAAAGGCUCGGUGGAGUCAAGCAUAGUUCAGAAAUGAGAAGCAUAGUCCACUGCCAGCUGCAGGAGUGGCAUGGCCCCAAGACUGCCACACGUCGAAAGGUUCUCAGGAGUGCAGUUAGCUAAGAAUAAGGUGUUUGCCUUUCUACAAUCCUUCAUCUCUUCCAUUAGUGAAUGCAAUGUGAAGAAGUUUCAUUUUCCACACCAAAUGGAAAACCAGUGGAAAAAUUUGAAAUGAUCUUAUUUCAAUGACAGUGUACUGAAUAGAAAGUCGUGUAAAAUAAUAUUAAC